rnacentral:lncRNA from 1 species
GCAGGCGCACCAGCAAACAGAGCCAAAGCAAACUUAUUCCCCUGGUCAUCUGCAGUGACUGUAUCAUCUCUCAGAUUCACCAAAUCCUCUGUAACCUGCGGCUGGGGCUUAGGCUCCGGCUCGGGUGGAGGAGGAGGGGUAUAAUUCUCCGGAGGAGGCAAUGCUUUGAUUUCGUUCAUAUCUGGUGCCGGCUCCUCCUCUACCUUCUCUACAGGUGGAGCCUCCUCUUUCCUCUCGGGACUCUUCGGCCUCUUAGCCCUAUCCCUCACAAACUCCUCCAACGUCUCAAGCAACUUGCUGGUAAUCCUCUGAACCUCAGGGUACUCCGAGGACCUAGCCACACCAGUAUUCUUACACCAAUUAUAAAAAGCAACAAGCUCAUCAAUCUGCUUAGCCGCACUGGCAUAAGCAUCAAAAGCCUUCACGCAAUCGGCAUACUCCAUAUCAAAGAACUUGUCAAGCAACACAGCCAAAACCUCACAUAUAUCAGCAUACAACUGAAAACUCUCCUUAACCACCGGAUACAAAGCAAUCAAGACCAUCCUACUAUUCUUCGCCAACCCAGUAGGUCUACAAGCCAGAAACCGAUCCAACAACCUCUGCAAAUGGCCCAUCUUACCGAAAACCCUCUCCGGAGUCAUAUCCCUCAAAGGAGUCACACUCACAACACUUCUCUCAUCUCCCCUGCCCACCGAUUCACUCAUGUCCCCAAAAGACCUCGUCCUCCUCAUCCCAUUAUCAUACCCAUAACCACCUUCCCCUCUGUACUCCCCACCACCGUACUCAUACGGCGGCGACCGGAAAUUUUCCCUUCCGCCAAACCUAUCAUCAGCACCGCCGCCGCCGCCAACACUACCACCACCGGCACCGGCGGCGGUGCUCUUUCUAUCAAACAGCAUCAACUCAAGCCUCUGAUCGAGAUACAUGGCAUAGGUCCUCACAAAAGCCGAGUGAUCCCAGGAGCUGGAGUGAGCCUCGUCUCUAAAAUCAGCCAUAUUGAGGAGCCGUGUUCCUCUG